CCAGGACUUCGGUCCUGGGGAGAGCGGCGAACGGGUGCGUAUCACGUGAGCAACCUGCCUCGGAGACCGGAAUAACUCGAGGAAACUCGGGCUAAUGCCGGAUGCCCUCGGUGGACCGCAUGGUCCGGCGAGGAAAUGGAUUCCGCUCCGAGAUGGGCUCGCGGCCUAUCAGCUUGUUGGUGGGGUAACGGCCUACCAAGGCGACGACGGGUAGCUGGUCUGAGAGGACGAUCAGCCACACUGGGACUGAGACACGGCCCAGACUCCUACGGGAGGCAGCAGUAGGGAAUCUUGCGCAAUGGGGGAAACCCUGACGCAGCGACGCCGCGUGCGGGAUGAAGGCCUUCGGGUCGUAAACCGCUUUCAGCAGGGACGAAAUUGACGGUACCUGCAGAAGAAGGCCCGGCCAACUACGUGCCAGCAGCCGCGGUGAUACGUAGGGGUCUAGCGUUGUCCGGAAUUAUUGGGCGUAAAGAGCUCGUAGGCGGUUCGGCAAGUCGGAUGUGAAAUCUCCACGCUUAACGUGGAGGGGCCAUUCGAAACUGCCGUGACUCGAGUCCGGUAGGGGAGUGCGGAAUUCCCGGUGUAGCGGUGAAAUGCGCAGAUAUCGGGAGGAACACCAGUGGCGAAGGCGGCACUCUGGGCCGGAACUGACGCUGAGGAGCGAAAGCGUGGGGAGCGAACAGGAUUAGAUACCCUGGUAGUCCACGCCGUAAACGUUGGGCACUAGGUGUGGGGCUCUAUCGACGGGUUCCGUGCCGUAGCUAACGCAUUAAGUGCCCCGCCUGGGGAGUACGGCCGCAAGGCU
rnacentral:rRNA from 1 species